UGUCAAGAAAAGUCUCUAUCGAGGUUAAAGGUACCCGUACCGCAAACCGACACAGGUGGGUGAGGAGAGUAUCCUAAGGCCAGCGAGAGAACGGUUGUUAAGGAACUCGGCAAAAUGACCCCGUAACGUAGGGAUAAGGGGUGCCACCAUCAGGUGGCCGCAGAGAAUAGGCCCAAGCGACUGUUUACCAAAAACAUAGGUUUCUGCUAAGUCGCAAGACGAUGUAUAGGAGCUGACGCCUGCCCGGUGCUGGAAGGUUAAGGGGAUCUGUUAGAGCAAUCGAAGCAGUGAACUUAAGCC
rnacentral:rRNA from 1 species